CCAGAGUCCUGCAGCUCACCAUCUCCAUGUCAGCUCUCCAGCAUUCUGCAUGAAGUGAAUAAAGGAGGAGCAACAGCAGGAAAAGGAGGGGGAAAGAUACAACAGAUGUUCGAGAGGAUGUUGGGAAACAGCCAGUGCAUUAACAUAGCAUCCAGCUUCUUCUUUUGCCUUGCCAUGUGGAAAUAAAUGUGGCAACAAGUGCAGUUAUUUUUGCUGUUUAACACCAAUCUCCUAGAAUUUGGUGAAUAUCUACCUUUGAUGCUGACUUGCCCAGGAAUCUUCAGUGUCUUUAGAGUCCAACUGUGACCUGCUGGACCAUCAAAAACCAUCAAAGCAUGCCUGCAGACACCAUCAUCCUAAAUUUCCUGGAGACAUGUUCUGUUUGUCCUGAUAGCAGAAUUUCAAAGAAUGAUUGACUGAUUCUGUUAUUAAAGACUAUGCCUAAGAGGAAAAAGCUGCUCAGCCUUUUGUCUGUUGCAUUUUUUUUUCCCUUGCCUUCUAUGUGUUUUUGUUAAUGUAACUGCUCAUAUUAAUUACAAGCCGUAGCUUUAUUUCAACUAAUGUCUUUUUGAAGGUUUAGCAACGAAGUGUGUUUGCAAUGUAGUACAAAUGUAGGAUCCAAAAGGAUGUUCUGGUUUCUUCCUGGUGCUCAGCUGUGACCUGGUGUAAGUCAGAGUGAGGAUGACACCCUUCCCACCCUUCCUGCUGUCCAGGGCUUG
rnacentral:lncRNA from 1 species